rnacentral:rRNA from 1 species
AUUGAACGCUGGCGGCAUGCCUUACACAUGCAAGUCGAACGGUAACAGGUCUUCGGAUGCUGACGAGUGGCGAACGGGUGAGUAAUACAUCGGAACGUGCCUAGUAGUGGGGGAUAACUACUCGAAAGAGUGGCUAAUACCGCAUGAGAUCUACGGAUGAAAGCAGGGGAUCGCAAGACCUUGUGCUACUAGAGCGGCCGAUGGCAGAUUAGGUAGUUGGUGGGAUAAAAGCUUACCAAGCCGACGAUCUGUAGCUGGGCUGAGAGGACGAUCAGCCAAACUGGGACUGAGACACGGCCCAGACUCCUACGGGAGGCAGCAGUGGGGAAUUUUGGACAAUGGGCGCAAGCCUGAUCCAGCCAUGCCGCGUGCAGGAUGAAGGCCUUCGGGUUGUAAACUGCUUUUGUACGGAACGAAAAGACUCUGGUUAAUACCUGGGGUCCAUGACGGUACCGUAAGAAUAAGCACCGGCUAACUACGUGCCAGCAGCCGCCGUAAUAC